rnacentral:rRNA from 1 species
UACGGGGGGGGCAAGCGUUGUUCGGAAUUACUGGGCGUAAAGGGCUCGUAGGCGGCCAACUAAGUCAUACGUGAAAUCCCUCGGCUUAACCGGGGAACUGCGUCUGAUACUGGAUGGCUUGAGUUCGGGAGAGGGAUGCGGAAUUCCAGGUGUAGCGGUGAAAUGCGUAGAUAUCUGGAGGAACACCGGUGGCGAAGGCGGCAUCCU